AUUGAACGCUGGCGGCAUGCUUUACACAUGCAAGUCGGACGGCAGCACAGAGAAGCUUGCUUCUUGGGUGGCGAGUGGCGAACGGGUGAGUAAUAUAUCGGAACGUACCGAGUAAUGGGGGAUAACUAAUCGAAAGAUUAGCUAAUACCGCAUAUUCUCUGAGGAGGAAAGCAGGGGACCUUCGGGCCUUGCGUUAUUCGAGCGGCCGAUAUCUGAUUAGCUAGUUGGUGGGGUAAAGGCCUACCAAGGCGACGAUCAGUAGCGGGUCUGAGAGGAUGAUCCGCCACACUGGGACUGAGACACGGCCCAGACUCCUACGGGAGGCAGCAGUGGGGAAUUUUGGACAAUGGGCGCAAGCCUGAUCCAGCCAUGCCGCGUGUCUGAAGAAGGCCUUCGGGUUGUAAAGGACUUUUGUCAGGGAAGAAAAGGCUGUUCUAAUACCGACAGCUGAUGACGGUACCUA
rnacentral:rRNA from 1 species